UACAGAGGUCUCAGGCGUUGUUCGGAUUCAUUGGGCGUAAAGGGUGCGUAGGCGGCGCGGUAAGUCGGGUGUGAAAUCUUGGAGCUUAACUCCGAAACUGCAUUCGAUACUGCCGUGCUUGAGGACUGGAGAGGAGACUGGAAUUUACGGUGUAGCGGUGAAAUGCGUAGAUAUCGUAAGGAAGACCAGUGGCGAAGGCGGGUCUCUGGACAGUUCCUGACGCUGAGGCACGAAGGUCAGGGGAGCAAACGGG
rnacentral:rRNA from 1 species